GACGAACGCUGGCGGCGUGCUUAACACAUGCAAGUCGAACGGACAGACCCUGCUUUUGUGGGGUUCUCGAUUGGCGCACGGGUGAGUAAAACGUGAGUAACAUGCCCUUGAAUGUGGGAUAACUUCAGGAAACUGGGGCUCAUACCGGGUAGAAGCUCCUGCUGCAUGGUGUUGGUUAGAAAGAUUCGGCUGUUGGGGAUGGACUCGCGGCUUAUCAGCUUGAUGGGCGGGUAGUGGCUUACCAAGGCUUAGACGGGUAGCCGGCAUGAGAGGGGGACCGGCCACCAGGGUACUGAGAUACGGCCCAGAAGCGUAUCGGACGCAGUAGGGGGGAACAUUGCACAACGGCGGGAAGUCUGAGGUAGCAAUCUCCGGUGCGGGAUGCUCUGCUAUUGGGUGAGAACAAAUUUCUACGGAGCUGUAGAGUGCUUGACGGUACCUGGUCAAGAAGCCCCGGCUAACUACGUG
rnacentral:rRNA from 1 species